rnacentral:rRNA from 1 species
GAUGAACGCUGGCGGCGUGCCUAAUACAUGCAAGUCGAACGCUGGAGAUCUAGCUUGCUAGAUCGAAGGAGUGGCGAACGGGUGAGUAAUACAUAAGCAACCUACCCACGAAGACUGGGAUAAUCUCUGGAAACGGGGACUAAUACCGGAUAGGUAAUCGGAAGGCAUCUUCUGGUUAUUAGAGGUUAAAAACACUGGUGGAUGGGCUUAUGGCGCAUUAGUUAGUUGGUGAGGUAACGGCCCACCAAGACGAUGAUGCGUAGCCGGCCUGAGAGGGUGAACGGCCACAUUGGGACUGAGACACGGCCCAGACUCCUACGGGAGGCAGCAGUAGGGAAUUUUCGGCAAUGGGGGCAACCCUGACCGAGCAACGCCGCGUGAGUGAAGACGGCCUUCGGGUUGUAAAGCUCUGUUGUAAGGGAAGAACGGUAGAUAGAGAAUAUCUAAGUGACGGUACCUUACCAGAAAGCCACGGCUAACUACGUG